GAUGAACGCUGGCGGCGUGCUUAACACAUGCAAGUCGAACGGUGAACACGGAGCUUGCUCUGUGGGAUCAGUGGCGAACGGGUGAGUAACACGUGAGCAACCUGCCCCUGACUCUGGGAUAAGCGCUGGAAACGGCGUCUAAUACUGGAUACGAGUAGCGGCCGCAUGGUCAGUUACUGGAAAGAUUUUUUGGUUGGGGAUGGGCUCGCGGCCUAUCAGCUUGUUGGUGAGGUAAUGGCUCACCAAGGCGUCGACGGGUAGCCGGCCUGAGAGGGGGACCGGCCACACUGGGACUGGGAAACGGCCCAGACUCCUACGGGAGGCAGCAGUGGGGAAUAUUGCACAAUGGGCGAAAGCCUGAUGCAGCAACGCCGCGUGAGGGAUGACGGCCUUCGGGUUGUAAACCUCUUUUAGCAGGGAAGAAGCGAAAGUGACGGUACCUGCAGAAAAAGCGCCGGCUAACUACGUGCCAGCAGCCGCAGUAA
rnacentral:rRNA from 1 species